CACCCAUCCAAGUACCUGGGACCGGAAUUAGAAAAAGCUGGUGGCUACCUUUUAAUUAAGUACCCAAAAGGCAGUUUGUCAACAAAGGAAACAUCUCUUUCUUCACUUGGCUUAACAAAGGCACCAAUCUGGGGGCUGUUGCUGGUGAGGGAGGCUCUGUGUGUGUGCAGGCAGGGAGUCUAUGGGAAAUCUCUGUAUUUUCUGCUUAAUUUGGCUGUGAACCCAAAACUGCAACCCAAAAUAAAUCUUAUUAUGUUUAAAAGGAAGGAGAAAGAAACAGUCUUCUUCUCUGCCACAAAAGGAAAACCGGGUUAUUAGACUGAGAAAAAGAAAGAGAUCAUGCCAAACCAGACCUUUGGCUUCUGUCCGUGGUGCUGAACUUUAUUCACUUUCAAACCGCUUUCAGUAACAGCAUAAAAUGUGAGAAACGUUGACAAGAGGCUGCAGCUUGAAUACGGUGCUCAUCACGGCUCGACUUGACAGCAAUGAGAUGUGACAAAGUUGAGUGAGAGACCCCAAGGGAUGAGGGUCACCUGAAAUUUGCCCCGGGGCCUGGCCCACCUUUUCCUCCCUGGCUAUUAUCUUCGGUACUACAAAGAGAACAGAGACAAAUUUGGCUUGGUGACAUGGUCCUCUUAGAAAAGUCAACUUCACGGGAGUGUGCUCACCUCCCACCCACUCCCACUCCAGCCGGACAACCCUGGAACUUUCAUGAACUGGGGCACAAGUUGCUCAUUAGAAGUCAUAAAUCAA